AUCCCUUCCUGGAGUCAUUUACAGCCAUGGAAACAGCAGUGAUGAGUGUGAGAAGAGCCCUGAGGCUGGAUCUCCUACACGGAGCUGCGUCUACAGCCUCCCCAAGGGGAACCUCAGCCUCUCCGAUGCUGGGACUUACUACUGCGCUGUGGCCAUGUGUGGGGAGAUGCUGUUUGGGAACGGCACAUAGCUGGAUAUAGAUGGCUUUCAGAAGCUGCUGGAUCCUCUUCACUCUGGCUUGCUGAUAGUUUUAUCUUGCAGCAUUAUUCUGAACGUUGCUCUCAUUUGUAUAAGAUGUAAACUGACCUGUACACACUGUGCAGAUGAAAAGAACAGUGAUAUAUCAAAAGUGGAAUGGUCACGCAAGCAAUGCCAUGACGAGGACACACUGAAUUACGCUGCCCUGAACCUUAAGAAGCCAAAACCCAGGAGACAGAAGAAAGACGGGAAUAAUGACACUCUGUAUUCUGACCUCCGCUACAGAGAUUAUGAAUAAAGAUGCUUCUCAUUCAUGUCAGUCACACAGAGUGUUCAGGGUGUAGCUUUAAUAAUGUUCAGAGGAGGGCAGGGGAGCCAGUGCUUCUGAGACUGAA